rnacentral:rRNA from 1 species
UAAAAGAUGAGCAUGCGUCCCAUUAGCUAGUUGGUAAGGUAACGGCUUACCAAGGCUACGAUGGGUAGGGGUCCUGAGAGGGAGAUCCCCCACACUGGUACUGAGACACGGACCAGACUCCUACGGGAGGCAGCAGUGAGGAAUAUUGGACAAUGGGCGCAAGCCUGAUCCAGCCAUGCCGCGUGCAGGAUGACGGUCCUAUGGAUUGUAAACUGCUUUUAUACGAGAAGAAACACUCCAACGUGUUGGAGCUUGACGGUAUCGUAAGAAUAAGGAUCGGCUAACUCCGUGCCAGCAGCCGCGGUAAUAC